AUGAACGCUGGCGGCGUGCCUAAUCCAUGCCAGUCGAGUGAACGGACGAGAAGCUUGCUUCUCUGAUGUUAGCGGCGGACGGGUGAGUAACACGUGGAUAACCUACCUAUAAGACUGGGAUAACUUCGGGAAACCGGAGCUAAUACCGGAUAAUAUUUUGAACCGCAUGGUUCAAAAGUGAAAGACGGUCUUGCUGUCACUUAUAGAUGGAUCCGCGCUGCAUUAGCUAGUUGGUAAGGUAACGGCUUACCAAGGCAACGAUGCAUAGCCGACCUGAGAGGGUGAUCGGCCACACUGGAACUGAGACACGGUCCAGACUCCUACGGGAGGCAGCAGUAGGGAAUCUUCCGCAAUGGGCGAAAGCCUGACGGAGCAACGCCGCGUGAGUGAUGAAGGUCUUCGGAUCGUAAAACUCUGUUAUUAGGGAAGAACAUAUGUGUAAGUAACUGUGCACAUCUUGACGGUACCUAAUCAGAAAGCCACGGCUAACUACGUG
rnacentral:rRNA from 1 species